rnacentral:rRNA from 1 species
UGCCUCACGGGGCGCAGCAGUGAGGAAUAUUGGUCAAUGGACGCAGGUCUAAACCAGCCAUGCCGCGUGCAGGAUGACGGCUCUAUGAGUUGUAAACUGCUUUUGUACGAGGGUAAUAUCGGAUACGUGUAUCUGCCUGAAAGUAUCGUACGAAUAAGGAUCGGCUAACUCCGUGCCAGCAGCCGCGGUAAUACGGAGGAUCCAAGCGUUAUCCGGAUUUAUUGGGUUUAAAGGGUGCGUAGGCGGUUUUAUAAGUUAGAGGUGAAAAUUCGGGGCUCAACUCCGGACGUGCCUCUAAUACUGUU